UGGGGAAUAUUGCACAAUGGGGGGAAACCCUGAUGCAGCAACGCCGCGUGAGUGAAGAAGUAUUUCGGUAUGUAAAGCUCUAUCAGCAAGGGAAGAAAAUGACAGUACCUGACUAAGAAGCCCCGGCUAACUACGUGCC
rnacentral:rRNA from 1 species